rnacentral:lncRNA from 1 species
GACCGGGUACAUAGGGAACCCUACCAUGAACGUUGCCUUAUAUUGGAUGGGGUAUCGAUGAUUGGUAAUUUAGCGCUCAUACAGGAGGGAUAUGGGGACGAUCCGUUUCACCCUCAUAUCGGACGGGAUAUUGACGGAUGGUAUUUCUUGGCGCUCAUACCGGAUAGGAUAUGGAGACGAGCCGUUAGUUAAAAAUAUUAAAAAAGGGUUCACCUGUAGUGGGGACAUCCCUAUGGAGCCCCAUGGAUACCAAUAGGUUGAUAAAUGAGAAAGUUAUUGUUCUGACUGAUUGAAUAUGAGAUUAUGAUAUUGUUUAUGUUAUUGCCUCUAUAGGUCAAUUUUGAAAAUCUCACUACGGUAAGUAUGCGGUAAAUGAUUUUAUUCAUGAAAAACGAAUUUACUUAAAUUAAGAGCUCCAUUAGUUGUUUUUAUGAAUUCUACAAACCUUCAUUUCUGUGUCGGUGAGUAGUGUGAUAUUCU